GACAGAGGUGGCGAGCGUUGCUCGGAUUUACUGGGCUUAAAGGGCGCGUAGGUGGCCUUGUAAGUCAAAGGUGGAAUUCCACAGCUCAACUGUGGAACUGCCUUUGAUACUGCAAGGCUUGAGUCAGGUAGAGGAGGGCGGAAUUCCCGGUGUAGCGGUGAAAUGCGUAGAUAUCGGGAGGAAGGCCGGUGGCGAAGGCGGCCCUCUGGGCCUGUACUGACACUGAGGCGCGAAAGCUAGGGGAGCAAACCGG
rnacentral:rRNA from 1 species